rnacentral:rRNA from 1 species
UACGUAGGGGGCAAGCGUUGUCCGGAAUCAUUGGGCGUAAAGAGCGUGUAGGCGGUCCGAUAAGUCCGCUCUGAAAGCCCGGGGCUCAACCCCGGGAGGCGGGCGGAUACUGUCGGGCUAGAGUCCGGGAGAGGAGAGUGGAAUUCCUGGUGUAGCGGUGAAAUGCGCAGAUAUCAGGAGGAACACCAAUAGCGAAGGCAGCUCGCUGGGACGGUACUGACACGUAAGGCGCGAAAGCGUGGGGAGCGAACAGG